rnacentral:piRNA from 1 species
UUAACCCUUCAUACAUUGAAA